CGCCUUUUGUAAUAUAUAAUAUAAAAGGUCCUGCCUGCCCAAUGACUUGUUUUAAUGGCCGCGGUAUUGUGACCGUGCAAAGGUAGCGUAAUCAUUUGUCUUUUAAAUAAAGACCAGUAUGAACGGCAAGACGAAAGCCUUACUGUCUCCCUAGCCUAAUCAGUGAAAUUGAUCUUCCCGUGCAGAAGCGGGAAUAUAAAUAUAAGACGAGAAGACCCUGUGGAGCUUUAAACUUUAGCUAACACUUACAAAUGCUUUAGUAUCAAGUUUUAGGUUGGGGCGACCAUGAGGUAAAAUACAACCCUCACGAUUUAAUCAAGAAGGACACUUCAAACAACUAAUAUAGCACAUUGACCCAAUAAUUGAUCAACGAACCAAGUUACCCCAGGGAUAACAGCGCAAUCUACUCAAAGAGUCCAUAUCGACGAGCAGGUUUACGACCUCGAUGUUGGAUCAGGACCCCCAAGUAGCGCAACAGCUAUUAAAGGUUCGUUUGUUCAACGAUUAAAGUCCU
rnacentral:rRNA from 1 species